GACGAACCGAGCGAACGUUGUUCGGAAUCACUGGGCUUAAAGGGCGCGUAGGCGGGCAAGCAAGUCCGGGGUGAAAUCUUUCGGCUCAACCGGAAAAGUGCCUUGGAUACUGCUUGUCUCGAGGGAGGUAGGGGCCUGUGGAACUUCCGGUGGAGCGGUGAAAUGCGUUGAUAUCGGAAGGAACGCCGGUGGCGAAAGCGAUCUGCUGGACCUCUUCUGACGCUGAGGCGCGAAAGCUAGGGUAGCGAACGGG
rnacentral:rRNA from 1 species